UAGGGAAUAUUGGACAAUGGGUGAGAGCCUGAUCCAGCCAUGCCGCGUGCAGGAAGAAGGCGUUAUGCGUUGUAAACUGCUUUUGCCAGGGGAUAAAAAGACCGUGCGCGGUUAAUUGAAGGUACCUGGUGAAUAAGCCACGGCUAACUACGUGCCAGCAGCCGCGGUAAUACGUAGGUGGUAAGCGUUGUCCGGAUUUAUUGGGUUUAAAGGGUGCGUAGGUGGCCCUGUAAGUCAGUGGUGAAAUAUCUCAGCUUAACUGAGAGGGUGCCAUUGAUACUGCAGGGCUUGAGUACAGAUGAGGUAGGCGGAAUUGACGGUGUAGCGGUGAAAUGCAUAGAUAUCGUCAAGAACACCGAUAGCGAAGGCAGCUUACCAAGCUGUAACUGACACUGAGGCACGAAAGUGUGGGGAUCAAACAGGAUUAGAUACCCCUGUAGUCCCUGAGCGGGCUGGCAAGGCG
rnacentral:rRNA from 1 species